GUGCAGCAGGCGCGAAUCUUCGGCAAUGGGCGAAAGCCUGACCGAGCGACGCCGCGUGCGGGAAGAAGGCCUUCGGGUUGUAAACCGCUUUUCUCAGGGAACAAUCCCGCUUUAGCGGGAUGAGGGUACCUGAGGAAUAAGGGGGGGCUAAUCACGUGCCAGCAGCAGCGGUAAUACGUGACCCCGAGCGUUAUCCGGAUUUACUGGGCGUAAAGAGUGUGUAGGCGGAUGUGAUAGUCAGAUGUUAAAUUAUGGAGCUCAACUCCAUAGCCGCAUUUGAAACGUCACUUCUAGAGACAGGCAGAGGCUGGUGGAACUCAUGGUGUAGCAGUGAAAUGCGUUGAUAUCAUGGGGAACACCGGAAGCGAAGGCAUCCAGCUGGGCCUGUCUGACGCUGAGACACGAAAGCGU
rnacentral:rRNA from 1 species